rnacentral:rRNA from 1 species
CUAGCCGUAAACGAUGGAUACUAGGUGUGGGUGUCGCAGGGCAUCCGUGCCGCAGUUAACGCGUUAAGUAUCCCGCCUGGGGACUACGGUCGCAAGACUGAAACUCAAAGGAAUUGACGGGGGCCCGCACAAGCGGUGGAGCACGUGGUUUAAUUCGAUGCAAACCGAAGAACCUUACCUGGGUUUGACAUGCAGGUGUUAGUGAAGAGAGAUCGGAACGACUGUGCAGUAAUGUACAGAGCUUGCACAGGUGC